GUACCUUUCUGAAUCAUAGUAUCCGACUGUAAUGUCAUCCAGAACUGUCGUGUAACUAAACGGAGGAAACCGCGUUUCUCCCUCAACGUACGUCGAAAGCAACGACAAAGAAUGAGAAGCUGCAAGACAACGUUGCUUUUCUUCCUGACAAAAUCCCAAGCUAAUGUCUGACCAUCUGGGUUGCUGGCAAUAUACACGAUGACAGAGGUAGCGUCCUGUUUACGGAUCAUUGAUGCAUUAAGCGUGUAUCCAAGGCCAGGGCUGACAUGAGUUUAUCAGCUUCUAUCGCUAUGGUGGCCUCCUUAAACAUCUGCCAGCCGAAGUCCCAUUCGUCAGCACCACCUGAAGCAAGUGCACUGCAGUACACUGCAGACCUCAAGUUAGGGUGAAUCCUGG